UCAGCACAGCCAGGUAUAGUCGCUUCCACCCUUAUCAGCACAGCCAGGUAUAGUCGCUUCCACCCUUAUCAGCACAGCCAGGUAUAGUCGCUUCCACCCUUAUCAGCACAGCCAGGUAUAGUCGCUUCCACCCUUAUCAGCACAGCCAGGU